AGUAGCUUUUAAAGCUGGGCCUUAGUGGGACUCUAAAUGCAAUGAAAGCAGUCUGUGUUGAGAGACUGAAAUGCAUUUCAAAGCCAGGCCUGAUUCGGGGUACAAGGAAGAACAGACCUAUGUGCAUUUUGUAGGAAGAAAACUGUGAAUGGAAAAAGGAGAAGGGGAGAGAAACGGGGGAAAUCUGGAUAAUACAUUAAAGUAACCAUAAUUUUGGAGAUGCAUUCAUCUUAUUGAAAAUUUCCUCAUGGUUGUGAUUCCUCUUCACUCUUUUGAAUUUGGAAGGAUGGCAUACACAUCUGAAAAAUACCACUACUUCCUUCAUUGGACUGCAAGGUAUUUCUGUUUGGAAAAGUAAUGGAGUCCAGUCAACUUCAUUGAUCGCCAAGGACUGUCAAAAUUAUAAAACUUGCUGUGGAGCUCUGACAUGCCAGAAGCCGCUAGAAAAAGAAGUUUGACAUUCAGAAACUUAUCAAGAGGUUCUACUCUUUGGAUAGAGACCAAAAUCAUACUUUGAAAAAGCCUGACAGGUUUCUUCGGAAAAGUGGCCAUCCAUGGAAUGAAUGAAAUGUUCUCUUUCUAUUCCAGGGAUUGCAGUGGCAAAGCUAGGCUAGGUCUUGGAGGCUGGUGUAAGGCGAUGUGGGUGAAGGCAGGAGGCUGAUGGAAAGACUGGGGGGAAGAAAAGCCGAAAUGGAUUCACGGUGCCUUGGAUGAAGGACGAGAGGGGAACUGCAAGCUCCUUCAACUGGUUCUGUCCGGUGAGAAGUGAUCAAGCUUGGGCUGACAAGAGGCUCAGGGAGCCCUCACGUUCUUUCGCUUUUUUACCUGCCAAUCAAACUGCUACAAGACAACACCCUGAUCUGGCAUGGACAUCGCGGGUCCAAGCCUGUAGCCCCAAAUCGGAUAAUCUCUGCAGCUGAUAACAAGCAAAAGAGAAGCCAGGCAACAGCCAUAUUAAAGAAGAAAACAAUCAACUCUGAG
rnacentral:sRNA from 1 species